rnacentral:misc_RNA from 1 species
AACGCAAAUUGCACUCUCUGGUAACCCGGGGAGUAUGCCUGUUUGAGGGUCAGUGUUAAUAAAAAUCGGUGCGUUGCAAUUUUUGUGAUGUUUCCGGAGUUUGAGUUAUCUUAUCUUCUGGGUUUAAGAGGCUUAAAAUUGACCUUCUUUGUGCAUUUUAGACGUACAUAAAUUUUUUUUUAUUCGUUUAUCUUAAUGCCAAAAUCCAUUAGAUGCGACCAUAUCGUGUGGUUCCGUGUCUAUAAAUUUUUCAUGAUUUGACCUCAAAUCAGGUAGGAACACCCGCUGAACUUAA